AAGAGACAACCAAACCAAAUAACAGCAAAAAAACAAAAGGAGGAGAGAUAGUCCUGGUGCAGAGCCAGCAUUAUACCUUGGCUGGUUUAACCCAGUGAUUUUUGGCCUGUGCCCUCGAGAAAAAUUAGCCAAGUAUUCUUAUGGUGGAUUCAACUGUGACCAAGCCAUUGCCUCUUUUACUCAGAGCACUUCCUUCUGUUCCAGGACACUGGUCCCCAUAGAUGGCUCUGCAUCUGAUCAUGUCUUAUGUGAAUCUUUGUGCCCAUGGCAGCAGUAUAGAAUUAGGAAGGGCUCAAGAACAGUGGGUCACAUUUAUUCUCAGAGUUCAGCCCUCCCUGUCUCCCUACAGCUGCUCUUUAUGCAUCACAGAACUCUGUUCACUCUCCCGUGUGACCUGCCUCAGCCCAUUGUGAUUCCUAGUUGGUUUAACUUCCUCACCAGGCUGGAGACUGUGUUCUUGUGCACAUAGGGGCUUGGUUUCACCCACAGUGUCCCUUUCAAAAAGGAGGCGAUGAGGCUGUGUACAUUGUUCUGAAAGGCCUCAGAGGUUGAUAAUUUUUUUUUCAGAUGUAUUUAUUUUAGUUUGUGUGUUUGGGUGUUUUGAGUAUAUGUGUGAAAGUUAGCUGUGGUCAUGCCUGUUGAAUCCUCUGGAAUUGAGGUUACAGAUGAUUGUGAGCCACCAUUUAGGUGCUGGGAAUGGAGCUGGGUCUUCUGCAAGAGCAAUGAAUAUAUUGACUGGCUGGCUGGCUUGGACUUUGCUGUAUUGAGUGGCCUGGUCUUACCUCAUGGAAAUCCUUCUGCUUCUGCCUCCCUGGGGGGUAGGGGGGAAACCAAACCAAAGAAUGCAUUUCUUAAUUGAAGGUUCUCAUGCUAAAUAUGUUGCUAACCAUGCCUUCAUGGGAACCUGUAGUGAGAAUUCUGGAAUUUUGAUUUAAAAAAGAAAAACACAGAAAUAAUAUAAGACUAUGCUUCUGUUUUAACCCAUGUGUGGGAUAUGGGGCUGCUUUAGAUUGUCCACAGUAGCUGACUGAUUUGCCUCAUGCUGUAGCAAGGGUGUGGUUUUUGCUAGUUGCAGAUAGUUUUUGGCUUGUGUGACAAAUGGAAUUCUGGGGACUUUUCAGAGGAUAUAUAUAUAUGCCAGGGCCCCAGAGGCAUUGGGUCGGGGGUUGUUGAUUUGUUUGUUGGUUGGUUGGUUAGUUGGUGUUGGUUGAUGUUGGUUGCAGUUUGUUAAGUAGUCAUGUCCAAAGAAGAAACAUCAGCAAGAAAAAAAAUGAGAUAUCCUGCUGGCAAAGAUCAGACGUGCCCCAAGGAACUUGAUACCUUAUCAGCUGGAAGUAGUCUAGUGAUAACACCCCCUUUCCAACCCCUGACUUUAUUCAGGGAUCUCGUUCCCUUCCUCACUAUCCUUUUUUCUCUUCUAUCUAGUGUUAGGGGGUUGAAAGGGUGGGAAAAGGAUGAAGAAGGGUGGAACAAAAUGGAACCCACAAAGUAGCAAAAGGCUCUUUCUACAUGAGCCAAAAUUGCCUUAUGCUAGAAGAAAGUCUGACAUGACUUUAGAACUGUUCAGAGAUAAUUUGACUUUAAAGCAUGGUUCUCAAACAUUGAUUAGUCCUAUGCCAUUACAUCGCCUAAUCACAGGAACCCAGGGACAGAGGAAGGCAUACCUGGUCAUGGAGUAAAGAUGCCAUUACAGGGUUAUCUGCAACCCACUGUCACAGGUUGUGUCCCUGGAGAGUAGAUCCUGAGAAUAGCAUGCAGAAUGCUUGUUAGGAAACACUCUUAGCCUCUCUCUGCAUGCACAGAAUGGGUGGAGGGAUUUGCAUGCUCAAGCAAAUUUUCAUGAUGACCUCAUCGGGUCUCACAGAAACUUCCAAAACUCUGGAAUAAGUUCCGAGUCAUCCAGUGUGGAUGAGAGAGGUCAGGGCGAGCCUUUGCACCUUUGCACCGACCAGCUUCCUCUUGAGGUAGGGCACACUAACAGGUAAGAUAUGCCCUGCCGGUUUGUGUAGGUCUGGUGGUAGGUCUCGAGGAUCGCCUAGACAGCUCUCCUGUCCUCAGGGAGCUCCUAUGCAGUGGGGAACACGAGCCACAAACACACUGCAGAUAUUUGAGGUGGAUUUUUAUGUUUUGAUUAUGCCUCAUGAGAGCCUGCACUAUUAGAUUGUUUGGGUGAAUUAAAUAGUCACUCUUUCUUUUUAAAGUCAAGAGCUAGGGAAACAGGAGGCCAUUGAAGGGGGUCUUUAAAGAGAGCACGGCAUCUUGACAGGUAAAGAUGAUGAAGUAUAAAUGAAAUGUAGGCAGUGUAUGGUAACAGUGGACACACACACACCUAAGAUAUAUAGCUGGACGUGUGUGGAAUUUAUUCCUUAACUCGUUAGGUAGAUGGAAACAUCUGUCGUUGUCAUGUUAUCAGAACCAGAUCUAAAUACACUAAUAGCCAGUUAUCUCAGAAAAGGCUGACAAACAGGAGAGCAAGAUGCAGGACAUUGCAUGAUGUGUCUGACCUGAUUUCUAUAAAAAGCACAUUGGAGCAAAUGGUUUUCUAAACAUGAGUGAUUACCAUGUUUGUAAAUGCAUGGUUCAUCUCUGGGAGACUAGGAAGACUGCUCACGGAGCCUUUGGACUACUGGCAACAGGAAAGGGAGUCUCCAUUUUUGACUGCAUGCAAGGGCUAUUUUAACUCUUGUAAAAACAAACAAACAACCCUCCCAAAACAAACAAACAACCCUCCCAAAACAAACAAACAAAACC
rnacentral:lncRNA from 1 species